UAGCGAAACCGCCCUCCGGGGCGGUCGGCCAGGCGCGGCGGCCUGGUCCUGAUGAGCAGCCGAAA
rnacentral:hammerhead_ribozyme from 1 species